AUCCACCUAACAAAAAACUACUUGUACCCCAAAGCUAUUGAAAUAAAAUUUUCUUAAAAAAUCUCAAAAAAGACAUUAACGAUAGCAGAAAGGGACUCUUGAAUCACCAACAGAAGGAAAACUUACAUUUUCAAAGGAGGCUACAAGUAAAACUGAUAUAGUCAUCUUUUUCCAAAACAUAGUAGAGAAUAAAUUGCAAAUAAUUAAAUUGGGUUUCUAGGCUGAAUGAUAACUUUUGAGAGCUGACAUCUGAUCACUGAGCUCACCUAUUCAAAUAAACGUAGUAUUAGUUGGUCUGUUUUUCUUUCAUUAUAUUUAAAGCUAGGAAAAUCUAGAUGGAAUAACCAGUCUCUCUCACUGACAACUUUGUAUUUUUCUGCUGCAAAGGAGCUCAAUUUUCUUUACUCAUUUUUUCUGUGUUUAAACAAACUCUAAAUAAGCUUUAUAUUUUGAAACAUUUAUGUACACACAGCCUUAUACACCUAACCCAAAAGAAGAUAAAGUUAAAUUUUAGUAACCUGAAGUUCUUCACUGAAGCCAACAUGGAAUGCCUCCUUCUUCUCCCACAGCAAUGUCACGAGGAGAAUGACAGCCUCCACACAAUCUGUCCCGAAAGUCUUCUCAUCUCUCCACUUCAUGAGCCUUACUCCUGUAAGUACCAUGUUCUUACAGCUUCACAAGGGAGCUGGCUCAUCUGCUGAAGGAAAUCCACACAAGCAUGGCCUCAGCAGCAGCAGUUCAAAGAGUGCUCCCCUCCAAGUGCUGGGACUGUAUGAUUUCACUAGAGUGGAGGAAGAAGCGGGAAGCCGGUGGUAG
rnacentral:lncRNA from 10 species